AGCGAAAGCGUUAAGUAUUCCACCUGGGGAGUACGCCGGCAACGGUGAAACUCAAAGGAAUUGACGGGGGCCCGCACAAGCGGAGGAACAUGUGGUUUAAUUCGAUGAUACGCGAGGAACCUUACCCGGGCUUGAAUUGCAGGAGAACGAAACAGAGAUGUUGAGGUCCUUCGGGACUCCUGCGAAGGUGCUGCAUGGUUGUCGUCAGCUCGUGCCGUGAGGUGUCGGCUUAAGUGCCAUAACGAGCGCAACCCCUCUCCCCAGUUGCCAUCGGGUGAUGCCGGGCACUCCGGGGACACUGCCGCCGCAAGGUGCGAGGAAGGCGGGGACGACGUCAAAUCAGCACGGCCCUUACGUCCGGGGCUACACACGUGUUACAAUGGCCGGCACAGAGUGUCGGUGCGGCGCAAGCCGCAUCCAAUCUUGAAAACCGGUCUCAGUUCGGACUGGGGUCUGCAACCCGACCCCACGAAGCUGGAUUCGCUAGUAAUCGCGCAUCAGCCACGGCGCGGUGAAUACGUUCCCGGGCCUUGUACACACCGCCCGUCAAGCCAUGAAAGCCGGGGGUGCCUGAAGUCCGUGACCGCGAGGAUCGGCCUAGGGCAAAACUGGUGAUUGGGGCUAAGUCGUAACAAGGUAACC
rnacentral:rRNA from 1 species